rnacentral:misc_RNA from 1 species
AGCUGAAUAAUAUUGUUCCAGCAACAAAUAUUUGUGAGCAAAACUACGGUUAUAAUCCCAUACAGUCUAGUAAUAGCCUAUAAUAUAGUAAAUCCUAAAGGGAACAGGGAAAGAAGAGUCAACAGCAUGGCCCUAAUAAAAAGUCCUAGCUUAAAUUAGGAAUUAUACAAGCAUUAUUAUAUAUACUAAAAAUGAAUCCUCUGGCACUUUUCCUCUUUUUUUUUAUUAUUUUUUCUAAGGCUGUUUAA